AGUGAACGCUGGCGGUAGGCCUAACACAUGCAAGUCGAACGGCAGCACAGUAAGAGCUUGCUCUUACGGGUGGCGAGUGGCGGACGGGUGAGGAAUACAUCGGAAUCUACUUUUUCGUGGGGGAUAACGUAGGGAAACUGACGCUAAUACCGCAUACGACCUACGGGUGAAAGCAGGAGAGCUUCGGACCUUUCGCGAUUGAAUGAGCCGAUGUCGGAUUAGCUAGUUGGCGAGGUAAAGGCCCACCAAGGCGACGAUCCGUAGCUGGUCUGAGAGGAUGAUCAGCCACACUGGAACUGAGACACGGUCCAGACUCCUACGGGAGGCAGCAGUGGGGAAUAUUGGACAAUGGGCGCAAGCCUGAUCCAGCCAUACCGCGUGGGUGAAGAAGGCCUUCGGGUUGUAAAGCCCUUUUGUUGGGAAAGAAAAGCAGCAGGUUAAUACCCCGCUGUUCUGACGGUACCCAAAGAAUAAGCACCGGCUAACUUCGUG
rnacentral:rRNA from 1 species